GCCGGGCGUGGUGGCGGGCGCCUGUAGUCCCAGCUACUCGGGAGGCUGAGGCAGGAGAAUGGCGUGAACCUGGGAGGCUGAGCUGGCAGUGAGCUGAGAUCGCGCCACUGCACUUCAGCCUGGGUGACAGAGCAAGACUCCGUCUCAA
rnacentral:SRP_RNA from 1 species